UAUUCUAUUAAUAUAUAGAUAAAUUUACAUUCAAUUUUUAAUGAUUUCGAAUAUUUUUAAAAAUUAUUUCUGUCACUAUGUUUGUACCAUGGAGCCAGAUAACAGGAGAGCGAUCGACAUAGGAAAAUAACUAGCAAAUACGAAUGGAAAGAAAAGGAAAGAUUAUUUUCGGAAUUACGCCGCUAGGUUUCGUUAUGUUCGCUGAAGUCAGGUUUAUGACGUCAUAUUUUUCAUUGACAAUUGUUGACAAUACUGCAUUAUUAGCAAUUGCAUUAAUGUUUUUUUAAUUUAUAAAAAGUAAUAUUUAUUUCAAAAUGGUAAAGAAAUGUAUUGUUCAUGGGUGUAUAAGUGGACAAGUCAAGGAUCGUAAUAAGAAUGCUAAAUUAAAUCGGAGAAACACGUUUUUAUUCACUGUACCACAGAAUUCUAUCUUUAAAAAAUCCUACAUUUCUUUUAUCUUUCUACGUUUAUCUAUCUUCAAUCUAUUGCAAUUCACGUAAUAAUUUUCUUUUUUCAAAAGCACCCUGAUCUGGUAAAAUUAUGAAGUAGUGGAUUAAACCAGCAAUUAAUACCAAAAAAACAAUACACAAAGAAUGCAACUACGAAUAUUUAAUGACGUCUCACCUUAAUCAAGAUCAACUGGAAAAAUUUUUUGGUAUCAUGAGAAGUGUUUGUCGCUGUAAUAAUCAUCCAGACACCAUUCUAUUUGGACAGGUUUUCUGAUUACUCUGUUCAUAUUCGCUAGUCACCCCUUCAAAAGGGUCUAAUGUCACGGCUGGUGAGCUUCUUCAGUCAUUAAUGCAAACAAAGGAAUCUCUGAUUGCAUCGAAUUCGUUAAAAAAAAUUGGCUUAAUGACAUUGAUGCAAUUAUUGAAAAUGGUAUUGUGAAUCACGAAAACUCAUCCAGUGAAAAUAUUAAUGAAUUCGU
rnacentral:lncRNA from 1 species